UGAGGUAACGGCUCACCAAGACUACGAUCGGUAGCCGGACUGAGAGGUUGAUCGGCCACAUUGGGACUGAGACACGGCCCAGACUCCUACGGGAGGCAGCAGUGGGGGAUAUUGCGCAAUGGGGGAAACCCUGACGCAGCAACGCCGCGUGAAGGAAGAAGGUCUUCGGAUUGUAAACUUCUUUUGUCAGGGACGAAGAAAGUGACGGUACCUGACGAAUAAGCUCCGGCUAACUACGUGCCAGCAGCCGCGGUAAUACGUAGGGAGCGAGCGUUGUCCGGAUUUACUGGGUGUAAAGGGUGCGUAGGCGGCCGAGCAAGUCAGUUGUGAAAACUAUGGGCUUAACCCAUAACGUGCAAUUGAAACUGUCCGGCUUGAGUGAAGUAGAGGUAGGCGGAAUUCCCGGUGUAGCGGUGAAAUGCGUAGAGAUCGGGAGGAACACCAGUGGCGAAGGCGGCCUACUGGGCUUUAACUGACGCUGAGGCACGAAAGCAUGGGUAGCAAACAGGAUUAGAUACCCUGGUAGUCCAUGCCGUAAACGAUGAUUACUAGGUGUGGGGGGACUGACCCCUUCCGUGCCGCAGUUAACACAAUAAGUAAUCCACCUGGGGAGUACGGCCGCAAGGUUGCAACUCAAAAA
rnacentral:rRNA from 1 species